UGCAGCUGACCUCUGGGAGGCUGAGCUAGCCAGUUUCAAUGGAGAAGGAUGCUGGGUGGCGCCGAGGCUUUGGGGGGUUUAACCAACAACUAAGCACCUGGUCAGCUGCCAAGCUGUGCAGCGGAAGACAGAGGGGCCAGCACACACGGGCCCUCUCUCCCUCAGGCAGGUCUCCAUCCCACUGCCAGCUCUAGACCAGCAGGCCUGGGAGGAAAGAAGGUAGGCCAUCAGCUGGGGUGCAGAUGGAACACCUGCCAGUGGCUGAGAGUGUUCCUGAAAAUAAUCGAAUGAAGAGGCAAUACCUUUCCCCAGGGCUUGUUUCACAGAGGGCACCCAGGUUGGCACGAACACGUGCACUCAGUGACUGUGCCUGCUCUACACUUGGGCUUUUUCACCUCAAGGUUUACGCUAUGACUCAGCACAAGGAAUCGGUUCCUUCCUGCCUUCACCAGGAGGCUCAUGAAUUCACCGUCAUGCAGAGAUUUUAAAGACAACACCACUUCUGCUGGAUCAAAACCGGGAUUUUAAGUGAGCCCGCAGCAGACCCUUGGGAUUUUCUGGAACAGCGAUCCUAGUCUGCUCGGCUUCUUGGUUGGCUUGUGAGCAUAGGGGGAAUUCAGAGACUCACUACUCCCCUGGCUCUUCGGCAGGCAGCGGGAGUCAGCUCCAUCCUUCUGCAAGCGGACUCCCGUCAGAGACCAUCGCCCUCUGCCUGCAUGCUGUGCCCUGCGCCGCCCUGACCACCACUCAUGGAAAGAGAUGAUGAACUUAUUAAAGCCAACAACCGAAUCCUGUAUGUCAAACAGUAAUUCUAGUUGCCACAGAACCCAGUCUAGCAGUUGAGGUCCCAGAAUGGAAGGAAUCUGUCAGUAACAUUUUUGGCUCAUCAGGUCUUACAAAAUGUGUGAGAAGCAGAAAAGAAUGUUUUUCAAAGGUACUAUAAUCUAUAACCGACUUGGAAGGAAUGCAUAUGGGUGGAUCCAUUCCCUACUCUCUCUUUUAGAAGCUAUUUCUCUCUUUAUCCCACAGGCUGACAAAGGCUAGCCUGUGUGAAGUUUCAAUGUGGUUGAAGUUCACAAUGCUUUCUCCUCGUUUCCCACAAGGGUCCCCAUUAAAACAAUCUAGUGUUUCUCAGUACAUUUGUUGGCCUUGUCACAAAGUGAAAAGAACCAAGUCUGUGUGAACUUUCCUUUUCUGACCUCAUUUUCCUCUUUUGUUCGAGGACGGCUGUGUUUUUUCAGCUUCUGUGACUUACAGGAGACUCUGUGCCCAAUUUUCAAAGGAUCUGGGCAGUUGCACAGCCUGGUCUGUAGCUGUAAUCAAUUUAGCCAUGCCUCCAAAAGCAAAAAAUAGCUUAAAAGAAGCCAUCCUAGAGGGAAGAUGUGUGCUCCCUUCCCCUCGACCGGACGGAGUAUCAUCCCUCUCCUUUAUAUGGAGUUCCAAAAGUACUUUGGGCUGAAAGCCCAAAAAGAGGGCUAUAUCAUAGCGUUAAAAAUGGAACAUCAGAUGGAGAGGGUUCUCCCCAGGUUCCAUUCUCCCUCCUCUCGCUAGGCCCAGGCAAAACUCUACUUAAAUCAUCCCUGAAAGCUGGGGUCCAAUAGGCCUGAAGAGGGAGCUUCCCUGUUCCAUGCUAUUUUGGGAAUGUAAUCACAACAAUCAAUCAUCCACCAUUCCAAAUUUCCAGGGUCUAGAUGGGGUGUUUCACAGCGCUUGCCAUGGCCCACAUUUUAGCUGGCUGAUUGCAGGGGGGGCUUUUAAUGAGAAGCUAGAGUGUUUUAUCUAAUGAACCACCUGUCUCACAUGAUGAAGAUAAAUUUCUCUCUGGAGGCAGGACAGUGGACUAGAUGACACUUCCCAGUUUCUUUCAACAUAGAGAUGUUAUGACUCCCUUGUGAGUAUUCCUCUAGAGGAUGCUGCAUUCUUAACCCUUAAUUCCAACUUAAAUGGAUGCUCUCAGCUUCAUUUUUCCAUUGACUGGAUGUAAUUAGGGCAGUCACCAGUAAUGACACCUAACCUGGUCUUUUCCAUUAAGAGGCAACCUAAUAAAGAUGGGGCCAGACAUCAGCAGCCUUCAUAAAGUGGUGGAGGAAUCCUGAAGCCUAGACUGCUGAGCCUCUGCAGACUGUGCGGGGUGCGGGGCGGGAAAAUGAAGAAGGGAGAGAAGACAAUAGAACAGGAGGGGAGGGGAGGAGAGAGGAGAAAAGAGAAGAGAAGAGGAGAAAAGAGAAGAGAAGAGAAGAGAAGGUGGGUGCAGGGAGAGGUAAAGCUGGGCAGAAAAUGAGAUGGGGAACAAGUUGCGUUGCAUCCUAAACAGCAAGGGUCAAGGGGGGAAAGAGAGAAGGAGGAGGCUGAAGAAUAAGAAAAAAUGAUGGGCUGAUGGGAUUGAGAGAGGAAGGAAGAACAAGGAGCCUAAGGCUUGAGCCAGAAGUCAAUGGUCCAUUUUGGCCCUUUAGAGGACAUGAAGGAAGUGCCAAGGGAUCCCACCCUGCUGUGUCCAUCUUCAAGUGGUAUAAGGAUUGCCUGUCCCCUGGGUCCCCUUUGGGAUGCUGGGCCCUUUCACUUAGGUGAGUUAAUAGUCUGACAGGCCACAGUGGCAGCCUGGCAGUGCUGUGUCACAUGGCAGUGAUGCAGGUUAGUUUUAAGAGACAAAUCACCGAGGGCCUGGCUAACUGUGGAAUCUUUGAAAUGGCUGGUGGGUAGAGGGGGUGUGUGAGGAGGGAGGAAGCAGGAUGGGAAAGGGUAAACAGCUGCUGCUAUGACUUCCCUGGGGUCAGACUGGGGGGAAGAGCCAUGACUCAGCCUUUUGCUUUCAGAUAUGCCAAGUCCUGAACCACAGGGGACAUCAACUGGAGUCCCUGGAUGUGCUCUGUCCAACUUCCAGUUCCAUGGGGCGAGGGGAGUGGAUGGGGUCCACUUCUGAUGAGCUGGAACUUCCCAAGGCACGUGGGCGAGAGGGAGCACCGAGUGCAUGGAGAGAGGGUGGCUGGGACGGGGUGAACACGCCUAACUCUAGAGAUUCGGACCCAAAUCUGGACCGAGACUCCUCCACACCAGUCCUCCCACCUCUUGUUUUCAAGAAACAUUUUCCAGCUGGAAAACCUUAGAAGCUGGAAAAACAAGUAUCCCAAGGGGAAAAGUAUGAGGUGUUCUUAACUAAAGAAGCAUAAAAUAAAAUAAAACACAAAUGAAAGUGACAAAUGGAGGAGGGAAGCCUG
rnacentral:lncRNA from 10 species